rnacentral:sRNA from 1 species
UACAUAUGUGAUAUGUGCCGAUCAAGCAA